UCAUAACUGGUCGCUUUCCAGGCCGCGGCCCAGCACGAGAAGGCUGAAUUUGCUGUCGCCGACGUAGCUCGGACUGACGGUGCUGAGGUUGCAGACACUGAGGCUGAAGCAAAAUGGAUUAAUUGUUACCCGGGCUGGUCAUGUUACUCCGGGUGGGGAACGUGGGACUACUACUGCUACUACUGGGAGUUUACUGCUUACACGUGCUAUUCCUACUACUACGGUACCUUGCGCUGCUGCGUUCCUUAUUACUUAGGAUAGCGGACUAUUACUGCGAUACACGGGAAGUUUUUGGUCCUGGUAAAUACUACGUUGUCCUAGUAACUAGCUAGUUCUUGGUCCUGGUAACUACUUCGUCGUCGUGGUAACUAGCUAGUUCUUGGUCCUGGUAGCUAGCAAGUCUGUACAUGGCUUGUUCAAUAAAUAUUAGUGUCGCCGGUGUAUCGCUCACUGCUGAACAUCGACUCAUUUCCUGGCUACUUUCUUCGAUAUGAUAUUCUCUGGUGUGUCUUCAUGAAAAAACGCAUUAAAAAGCAACUUGCA